rnacentral:rRNA from 1 species
GACGUAGGGCGCGAGCGUUGUCCGGAUUUAUUGGGCGUAAAGAGCUCGUAGGCGGCUUGUCGCGUCGGACGUGAAAACUUGGGGCUCAACCCCAAGCCUGCGGUCGAUACGGGCAGGCUCGAGUUCGGUAGGGGAGACUGGAAUUCCUGGUGUAGCGGUGAAAUGCGCAGAUAUCAGGAGGAACACCGGUGGCGAAGGCGGGUCUCUGGGCCGAUACUGACGCUGAGGAGCGAAAGCGUGGGGAGCGAACAGG